rnacentral:rRNA from 1 species
UACGUAGGGUGCAAGCGUUGUCCGGAAUUAUUGGGCGUAAAGAGCUCGUAGGUGGUUUGUCGCGUUGUUCGUGAAAACCGGGGGCUUAACCCUCGGCGUGCGGGCGAUACGGGCAGACUGGAGUACUGCAGGGGAGACUGGAAGUUCCUGGUGUAGCGGUGGAAUGCGCAGAUAUCAGGAGGAACACCGAUGGCGAAGGCAGGUCUCUGGGCAUUAACUGACGCUGAGGAGCGAAAGCAUGGGGAGCGAACAGG